rnacentral:rRNA from 1 species
GACGUAGGGCGCGAGCGUUGUCCGGAUUUAUUGGGCGUAAAGAGCUCGUAGGCGGCUUGUCGCGUCGACCGUGAAAACUUGGGGCUCAACCCCAAGCCUGCGGUCGAUACGGGCAGGCUCGAGUUCGGUAGGGGAGACUGGAAUUCCUGGUGUAGCGGUGAAAUGCGCGGAUAUCAGGAGGAACACCGAUGGCGAAGGCAGGUCUCUGGGCCGAUACUGACGCUGAGGAGCGAAAGCGUGGGGAGCGAAAGGG